CUGAUAUUAAAUAAACAUGGAUUGUAUAUGUUAUUCUAAAUUAUAUUUUGUUCGGAUCAUUCUAUCACACAAUGAAAGGUAAAUGCGAUUUUUUAUUUCAAUAUAAAAUGUUUACAAAAUCAUAUUAUCUUACAUAAGUUGAUUUAUUCAUACAUACAUAUACAUAGAGUACAUAUAGCCUACUUUAAGCUACAAAAACAAUGUCAUUAUCACCUAGAAUCACAUCGAUAGGAUAUUUAAAAUAAAUGAUAUAAUAACGUAUUUCGAUGAUGAAAUAUUAUUAUAAGAACAACAGUAGUAGUAUACCGUUGUUCCAAUCUAAUUAAAAUAUAGAUCUUUGAUUUCGUUAUACUGUAGUAUAAUAUAAUUAAAAUAUAGAUCUCUGAUUUCGUUAUACUGCAGUAAAACGAAAUCUAAUUAAAAUAUAGAUACUACAAUAACGAAAUCAGAGAUCUACAUUUUAAUUAGAUUACCUUUAUUCGAAAGUCAUAAAUCGAUGAAACCGAAGGAAACAUAUCAACUAUACAAAGAAAACAAACGGAAACAACAGGAACACCCAAGUGCAACGAAAACAAACACCAACACACAUAUAAACGAACUAUUUAAUAACAAAAUCCUUCAAUAAUAAACAUGAUAUAUGAUGUUCACUCAUAUCAUAUGUAAUCACAAUUAUAUGACGUCACUUAUCACUAUAUAAUGUGCGCUAUUUUGCCAUUAUUCUUUAUGGAAUUAUCAUUAUAUUAUGUGGAAUUAUCAUUAUAUGACGAGGACUUGUCGUUAUUUGAUGGGCACUUGGCAUCUUGUGAUAUCCACUUGACAUGCGACAUUUCGUUAUAUAAUGUAAUAUCACAACUAUAUUUUAUUAUUUUUUACUUAUUGUAUGUUCUUUUCCCGAUUUAUAUAGUUAGUUCUUAUGUUGUGUUGUUACACCACUGUUCCAUACUAGGAGGGGGUGUCUGCAAACAUUUGUAAUCCGCCACAUUCUGUAUGUGCCUUAGUCAUGUCAGAAACCUAUAAAUGAGUGUUACCAUACAAUACGAAGGUUUUAAUUUUGAUUCGGUCUCCAUAUAACAAUACAAACAUAAGCUCUGAAGAGCUUUUUACCGAAAAUAAAAUAACAUAAACAAACAUUAAAACACACAACAUGCAAACAAGAUAUAUAACAGCACAGGCAUAUUACAUGGAAAAUCACUACUAAAAUACAUAUCUAAGCAAACCAUAACUGAAGUAAAACCAAAAUUUAAGCACAUAACAUGUUAGAGCAACUUCUAAAAUAUGAGAAAGCUUAUCUACAUGCAGAACAACAGCACUUUGAACCAUUCCAGGAUUGUAUAAGGCUUUUAAAUCGAGAAAAAACUGUUUUCAGUUCUGAAAUGGUCAGGUUGGCUGUUAAACUUUUCUUAGCAAACUGUGUAGUUUUCACAUGUGGUAUAUCCAGUAUAUAUUAAUUUGAUAGUAGCCGUAUGUUGCUGUAUAUCAUAUUUGUUUUAGAUGAUUGUUUUCGAAUGCAUUUGAAUUUAAACAUAUAUAAAUCGUACAAUCAAAACUGUUGUGGAUUUCAUGAGAUAGUAGCAAUGGGCUGUGCAUCGCAUUAUUUACAAUAUAAAUGACCAAAGCACCGAACAUAAUGUCAAAACUACUGAACAUAAUGUUAAAACCACUGAACAUAAUCAAACUACUGAACAUAAUUUGAAAACUACUGAACAUAAUAUAAAUACUACUGAACAGAAAGGAUUAAGCACCGAACAUAUUCAACAAUCAACAUCAGAAGACAG
rnacentral:lncRNA from 1 species